rnacentral:rRNA from 1 species
CCUACGGGAGGCUGCAGUGGGGAAUAUUGGGCAAUGGGCGCAAGCCUGACCCAGCAACGCCGCGUGAAGGAAGAAGGCUUUCGGGUUGUAAACUUCUUUUAAGAGGGAAGAGCAGAAGACGGUACCUCUUGAAUAAGCCACGGCUAACUACGUGCCAGCAGCCGCGGUAAUACGGAGGGGGCAAGCGUUGUCCGGAUUUACUGGGGGUAAAGGGCGUGCAGCCGGGAAGACAAGUCAGAUGUGAAAUCCCGCGGCUCAACCGCGGAACUGCAUUUGAAACUGUUUUUCUUGAGUACCGGAGAGGUCAUCGGAAUUCCUGGUGUAGCGGUGAAAUGCGUAGAUAUAAGGAAGAACACCAGUGGCGAAGGCGGAUGACUGGACGGCAACUGACGGUGAGGCGCGAAAGCGUGGGGAGCAAACAGGAUUAGAUACCCCUGUAGUC